rnacentral:lncRNA from 1 species
UUUCCCAAGAAAGAGCAAUUAGUGUUGAAACUAUUAAUAGGAUACCCAGCUGAUUCUAUAUGUUUCAUCUGUCUGAUAGUCCUUUAUCCUUAGUCUCUUAGGGUCUCAUCUAUUCUCUAUUGCUUAUGCUUAGUAUUGUUAAUUUAUUUUCAGUACUUUCUUAACUUGUGAUGUUAAACAUUUGAAAAUUAAUACAAUGGUACUUUGGCG